GUCUACCACCAUGCCACCUUCCACGCCCCCAAUCUCCUCUGAUCUCAGAAGCUAAGCAGGGUUGGGCCUGGUUAGUACGUGGAUGGGAGACCACCUAGGAAUAUCAGGUGCUGUAGGCG
rnacentral:rRNA from 1 species